GAUGAACGCUGGCGGCGUGCCUAAUACAUGCAAGUCAAGCGAACGGAUAAGGAGCUUGCUCCUUUGAAGUUAGCGGCGGACGGGUGAGUAACACGUGGGUAACCUACCUAUAAGACUGGAAUAACUUCGGGAAACCGGAGCUAAUGCCGGAUAACAUUUGGAACUGCAUGGUUCUAAAGUAAAAGAUGGUUUUGCUAUCACUUAUAGAUGGACCCGCGCCGUAUUAGCUAGUUGGUAAGGUAACGGCUUACCAAGGCAACGAUACGUAGCCGACCUGAGAGGGUGAUCGGCCACACUGGAACUGAGACACGGUCCAGACUCCUACGGGAGGCAGCAGUAGGGAAUCUUCCGCAAUGGACGAAAGUCUGACGGAGCAACGCCGCGUGAGUGAUGAAGGUUUUCGGAUCGUAAAACUCUGUCAUUAGGGAAGAACAAAUGUGUAAGUAACUGUGCACAUCUUGACGGUACCUAAUCAGAAAGCCACGGCUAACUACGUGCCAGCAGCCGCCGUAA
rnacentral:rRNA from 1 species